rnacentral:rRNA from 1 species
AUUAANCCAUGCAUGUCUCAGUACAAGCCACAUUAAGGUGAAACCGCAAAAGGCUCAUUAAAUCAGUUAUGGUUCCUUAGAUCGUACCCACAUUUACUUGGAUAACUGUGGUAAUUCUAGAGCUAAUACAUGCAAUUAGAAUUCCGACCGGAGACGGGAGGAGUGCUUUUAUUAGAUCAAAACCAAUCGGUGGUGUGCUUGCAUGCCAUCGUAUAACUUGGUGACUCUGAAUAACUUUACGCUGAUCGCAUGGUCUUUGCACCGGCGACGCAUCUUUCAAAUGUCUGCCUUAUCAACUGUCGAUGGUAGGUUCUGCGCCUACCAUGGUUGUAACGGGUAACGGGGAAUCAGGGUUCGAUUCCGGAGAGGGAGCCUGAGAAACGGCUACCACAUCCAAGGAAGGCAGCAGGCGCGCAAAUUACCCACUCCCGGAACGGGGAGGUAGUGACGAAAAAUAACGAUACGGGACUCAUCCGAGGCCCCGUAAUCGGAAUGAGUACACUCUAAACCCUUUAACGAGGAUCAAUUGGAGGGCAAGUCUGGUGCCAGCAGCCGCGGUAAUUCCAGCUCCAAUAGCGUAUAUUAAAGUUGUUGCGGUUAAAAAGCUCGUANUCGGAUUUGUGUUUCGUGCCGCCGGUUCAUCGUUCGCGGUGUUAACUGGCGAGUCACGGGACGUCCUGUCGGUGGGUUUAGCGCCAUCUAUCAUUGGGCUUGUGUGUUCUUCACUGCUCCCGCAUGCACUCUUUGCGGGUGUGUGUUGGGUUGUGGCGGAGGCGCCAGGUUUGGUGGGUGUGUGCGGCCCAACUCAAUCCUGCCGCGGAGUGGCCNGACUUUCUGGAACAAAUUAAAAUGCUUAAAGCAGGCUAGAAUUUUGCCUGAAUAUUGUGUGCAUGGAAUAAUAGAAUAGGACCUCGGUUCUAUUUUGUUGGUUUUCGGAACUCCGAGGUUAUGAUUAAUAGGAAAC